UCUACAUCUUCAUGACUGCUUUAUGCCUUUUUCAAGUAUGUGCAAUCCAUUGCAAGAGGUUCAAUUUCAACUACUUCUGACUGAGUAUCACGACAAAGACAAUUUCUCCUUGCAAUUUACUUAACUAUGUCAUUCACCUCUUUCUCCAUACUUGUGAUUAAUACUUCCUGCUCCUCAGAUUUCCGCAUCAGUUGAAGAACUUUCACCCUCAUUGCACGGACUUCAUCCUUUGUUGGUUUCUUCUUCGUAAUUCGACACCCAAUUUGGUCAAAAGCUUUUUCAACAAAUUUACUGCAAAGUUCUUCAUUGGAAGCACAUAACUCAAGAAGAACCUAUUUGUUGAGAUAUAUAAUUCCAAAAUUAAUUAUCUACAUUCAAAACAACAUUAAUGUAAUACAAAUUACAAAAAAAAAACAUUCCUUAUUCUUACGCAUACCAAAUUCAAGUUCAUGGUCACCAACUCUAACAUCCACCCAAUGCAUAAUACGGGGAUAUUUAUUCUCACUCGUAGGUACUUGACGCUUAUAAGAGAACAAAUGUUCCAUCGCCCAUAUCUGAACAAUGAAUACAAAAAAACCAUUUAUUAAAAGGUCAACACAGAUGCACAAUUAUUACAAACAUUUACCAAUAACAAAAAUGUUUCAUUUUACCUGCAAGAGGUAAACGCAACCAUCCACAUGGAUAUACGACAUAUUUCCCCGCGUAAUCCAUUUUGAAGCUGAACACAAACUAUCAAUCAAAAUCUCAUACACUAAACCCUCCUAAUUAUACAUAUCAAGUUUGUCUAAAUCAUCAACAAGGUUAAACAAUCCAUCAUGAACUAAACCCAAUCUAGUAGGGAGAAUAAACUCCGACAAACCUAACAAGAUAUACAACUUACAAAAGUCCUCUGAGGAAAUAUCAUUCCCAAGUUUCAAAAUAACAGAAUAUAUCAUUUCCACAGUUACAUGACCUUCUUCAAAAAAACUCCUUAUGUGAGAUAUAAUACUACUUUUCCUUAAAUCAAUUUUUCUACCACCUACUCUAAGACCUACACCUAAACACACAUCUACCAAACUAAACGACACAAAUUGAUACUGAAUUGAAAAACUUUGCUUCCUCUCCACCCAACAACUACAUAACUUACUUAAAAGUCCACGACUCAAUUUGAUGUCCUCACGAACAAACAAAAGCCAUUCAAAUGGGAUGGAUUGUAUAAUACUCUUUUGUUGCAAACUUAUAACCAUGUUCACAAUAGCCAAACACUUUGACCUGCAAUUAUGCCUAAACACCUGUAUAGCAAACUCAAAUACAAAUACACUAUAAUAAUUAAAAUUAAAGAUAAAUAAAUGUAAAUAUCAUGUCUACUUUAAAACAAAAAACAUCAUUUCAAAGAAACCAUAGCUUGACCCUCAGGAUGACGAUCAAUCGUAAGAACCUCCUCAUCUGAACAUCCGCUAAUUGACAUUAUAUCCUCAAACAAUUCUGUGAAUGUUUCCUGUUCAGAACCAAACCAACAUACACUUCUUCUAAGAAAGUUUUCUCCAUACAAAGGGGAAUCAUAUCUCUAUUUGAAUCUCGCUAGUAAGAAAUUAUUUGUAAAAGAUUGUCAGGAGGACAUUACAGAAUGCAUGUUAUCAAUUUUAAAUAUUGGAAGAAGAGUUAAGGAUCAGAAUUACUAUAAACUACAAUUUAAUUCCAAGCAAUUAGUAAGCAGUAUGAUCACAAAAGUGGCAUCAAUUGGCACUUGUCUUCAGCUCAUCAAACAGGGCAACAUACACUUAGAAAUGGGAGCAAUCAAGCCAAUAAAAAAAUCCCAAUAGACAAGGUUUUCAGACACGGAUUAUUGACACACUUCAUCUCUCAAAAUAGAAAUAUUUUCUUAGGUUUUGGUAGUAACUCACCACUUACUGUGACUAACUACACUGACACUGACAUUGAUACCAUUAUUCCUACACAAGUCACGACUUAAUGUGGCUCCGACUAACUAACUACUUUAACAAUGAGAUUAUAGAACUCUAAUCUCAAUAUGAAUGGAGUCAGUCGCAGGAAGUGGUGACCUUUGAUGGAAUACGUGGUGACCUGCUACAAAGUUUUUGCACGGUUAAGUAAUUUUAGAAAAUUUUAGUUGUGUUGUUCUUAUGUGGAAUGGUGCAUGAGGUGUGUGCAAAUAGACUUUAGUGGAGGACACCAAUGUACAAUUAUCUAAUCUCAAUAUCAAUGUAGUAUGUCAGACUAUGUGGUGACCUAUGUAGGAAUAAGUGGUGACCUGCUACCAAGUUUCUGCACAAUUAAGUAAUUUUAGAAACUUUUAGCUUUGUGUUGUUCUUGUGUGGGGUGGUGCAUGAGGUGUGUGAAAAUUGAAUUCAGUAGAGAAAACCAAGGUAUAAUUAUCUAAUCUCAGUGUAAUAUGUCAGACUAUGUGGUAACCUGUGUAGGAAUAAGUGAUGACCUGCUAUCAAUUUUCUUCACAGUUAAGUAAUUUUAGACCACAUUAUCUUAUAUCUCUAACAGAAAACCACCUGCCACAUGCACCAAUGACCUUUAGGUGCUAAACUGCAAACCACAUUCUGUUAUACAUACACCUCCCUAUCUUUUUAGGGUUAGUAACAUCUAUCAACGUGCAACAAAUAGAUAAAAUAUCUUUUAUAUUUUAUCUUAUAUCUUUAUAAAAUGUCUCUUUAUAUUUUAUCUUAUAUGUUCAUAAAAUAUCUCUUUAUAUUUUAUCUUUAAGUACAUACAACUUGAAUUUAAAUCAUAGCACAUCAUUAGAAAAUUAGGCCCAUUAACCAAACAGGCCCAACACCGCUACCUUGAAUCCAGGUCCAUGGCCGAGCUGACUUUUAUCCUACCCGAGAACCGAGUAGUAGUUGGUCCAAGACCGAGGACCGAGCUCCAAGCUCCUGCCCAGUACACAAGCCCCCAGGCUCGAGCUGAGCUUGGCUAAGCGAAGAGGCUUUCAAGUGCUUUGACCUUUAUUGAACCGUUUUCCAUAGGCACUACAGGCUAAUGCUUGAAUGUGGCGCAUCCAAAGGCAUCCUACCUUGAUCUCGCCAAGUACUGCUCAUGUGGCGCAUGUUCGGAUAAUUGUGCCCUUCUGGCAUGGUAAUUCUUUCAACAUACUAGCUCAGCUUUCUGCUUUGUCACGUACCCUCGUCAUCAUCAACUUUUGCAAGGCACUUGCCAGUGUACCACUGGACAAUUAAACUAUGCAACUUGAAAUCAUCUCACAGAGCGCCUAGCUCGGGUGAUAACGGGCACCUGCACAACUUGCUCAUCUCUCAUAGUGUCUAGUUCUCACAUGGCAUCGACCAUGUUGUUAGCUUGACAUAUCCUGCACUUAGCCAAAUUUAGGCACUUGCUUAUCCUACAGAGCACCUAAAGCUCGGGUGAUACCGACUUAGGCAACCUACCUGCGUCUCCGAAUAGCUUAUUUACACAACUUGCUUAUCUUGUAGAGCACCUACAGCCCAGGUGACACUGACUUAGGCGACUUACCUACGUCUCUAGAUAACAUUUUUAUGUAACUUGCUCAUCCUGUAGAGCACCUACAGCCCAGGUGACACCGGCUUAGGCGACUUAUCUACGUCUCUGGAUAGUUCGUUUAUGUAACUUGCUCAUCCUGUAGAGCUACAGCCCGGGUGACACCGGCUUAGGCGACUUAUCUACGUCUUUGGAUAGCUCGUUUAUGUAACUUGCUCAUCCUGUAGAGCACCUGCAGCCCGGGUGACACCGGCUUAGGCGACUUACCUACGUCUCUAGAUAGCUCGUUUAUGCACUUGCUCAGAAAUUAAACAAUAUGUAAAGCAACAAUAAGCAACAACAACAAUAAUGCAUCAUAAGCGACAUUUAUUAGAUGGUCUCAUUAAAAAAAUCUCUUUAAGGGAAAAAGAGAGCCACCUUAUAGCACUGCACUGUAUGCACCAUUCCCCAACACUUCAACUACUCGGUAUGAUCCUGUCCACUUGGGGGACAACUUGCUUUCCAACUGGUAUGGGGUGAUCCAGGUCUCUAACGUACUGACCUGUAAAAUCGUGUCUACUUCUUCCUCUUUUGGAUUUUCAAUCGAUGAGCUUCGUCGCCCAACACUUCUAUGAACCUGAGUUCUGCACAUUGUAGAUCGUGAACUAGUACACGAGGUAAGUUCCCUAGGAAAGAGACGUGGGUCACCAAUGGACGUGCUUAAAUACCAAGUAUUUCCUCGCCAGAACUUUCCUAGACAUGUAUUCUUACACUACUACGCUCUAUAUCCCGAUAAAAUAUUCCUUUAUCUUUUAACUUCAUAAUAAUAUCACAACAAAUACAAUAUAAUAUCGCAACAGAUAAAAUAUUCCUUUAUCUUUUAUCUCCAGAAUAAUAUCACAACAGAUAAAAUAUUCAUUUAUCUUUUAUCUCUAGAAUAAUAUCACAAAGGAUAAAAUAUAAUAUCACAACAAAUAAAAUAUCUUUUUCAUUUUCUAUCUUCAGAAUAAUAUUGCAACAAAUAAAAUAUCUUUUUAUCUUUGUUACCUUUUUUAAACAAAUGCUUUAAAUAUUUUAAAGCGGUGGAAUACCUCAUCCUUGCUUUUCAAUAGAUAAAUCCAGGUUUUCCUUGAAAAAUCAUCAAUAAAGGUUAAAAAAUAUUUAUUACCUCCAACUGAUGAUAAGUUCAUCGGGCCACAAACAUCUGUGUGAACAAGCUCCAAAGGAAAGUUUGCACGCCAAGGCUCCUUAACAAAUGGUAUCCUAUGAUUCUUUCAAAAAAUGCAAGCCUCACACAAUUGAUUAGGGUGAUGAAUAUGGGGUAAACCAUUCACUAAAUUCCGUUUGGAGAGAUUUUCCAAACUCUGAAAAUUUAAGUGCCCAAAGUGUAAAUGUCAUAACCACGAUUCAUUAUUCACUAUUGCAUUCAAGCACUUGAAAUCACCCAUAUGAAUAUCUACGAGAAACAUGAGGUUUUUUUUAUAAAAAGGUUUUAAGAAUCAAAUUACCUUUUUUAUCAAAAAUUGAGAAUUCAUUUUCAACUAUGUGCAUCACAUAACCCUUUUCGGCCAGCUAUCCCAUACUUAACAAAUUACUUUUCAUAUCCGGUACAUAGAAAAUAUCAUAGAUGUACCUAUGAUCACCAUUCUUCAAUGUAAUAAGAAUUCACCCUUUUCCAGUCACCAAAACGAACCUGCCAUCAUCGAAUUUCACUUAUGUGUGAAAUGAGUCAUCCAAAUCUGCAAACAACUCUUUCUGACCACACAUAUGAUUCGUGCAACCUAUAUCCAAAUACCAAGUCUGAUUGUUUGGAGUUUCAUUUGAUGUGCCUGCCAUUAGUACUGCAUAUAUCCUCUUUAUCUUGUACGUGAUUAUUGUCUUCUUGAGCAUAAUUGGCAGCAUGAUUAUCACAUUUUGAUCUGCAUUCAUUUGCAUAAUGGUCGUGUUUAUGGCAGUUAUAACACUCCACAUUUGAUUUAUUAUAAAGGCCUCCUCGUCCUCUGCGACCACGUUCUCCGCGCCAAGAGUAUUUGAACUUGGAAUGUGAUUGGAACCCGUGUUGUUUUGCUCAGCGCCUCCAUGAUUCUGGCCACCACGACCUUUGCUGAAAUAACUACCACCAUGUCCCCGCCCUCUGCCUUGUGAACUACCGUGUUUAUGAUAGGAGCUACCGAUUGAGGUUUGUGCUUGUAAAGCCUAUUCAAUUGGUUUUUCAAUCGUAUUGUCAUUCAUCCGCUGCUCAUGCGCUCGUAGGGAACCAGAAAAUAACCUUACUGUCAUUGUUGAAAUAUCAUUGGCCUCUUCAGUUGCGGUAACAUGUUCAAAUCUGGGAGUUAAAGAUCUCAAAAUCUUCUCCACCUUUGCUUGCUCCUAAUGUGUUUCACCAUUAGUCUUCAUCUGAUUUAUCAAGGCAAGAACUUGAUUUAUAUAAACAUCAAUAGUCUCUGUGGUUUCCAUCUGCAGCAGUUCAUAUUGGCGUCUUAGGGUUUGAAGACAUUCCCUUUUGGUCUUGUCAUCACCUUUAUAAUUGAUUGACAAAAUUCUCCAAACCUCACUGGCAUUUAUUGCUCCUUUUAUAUGCUCAAACGUCUCGUCAUUCAUCACUUGACGGAUUAGAUACAAAGUCUUCUUGUCCUUCUUCUUUUGAUCAGCUACUCGUUGCGCCUCAAUUGCAUUAUUAGCUAAUGCAGACACUCCAGUCUCAACGACAUCCCAUAACUCAUGAUAAUCAAAUAAAACUCUCAUUUGCACACACCACCGAUUGUAAUUUUUUCUAUCAAGGAUAUGGACUGAUAAUUGGGUAGAGUUCAUGAUAACAAACUGACUCUGAUACCAAUUGUAGGAACUAAUUGAAGGAAAUAAGAGAAGGCAAAAGGUUGUAGAAACUGAUUGAAGGUAAUUGCACAAGAUUGCAAAACUGUUGAGCUAGUCUUCUCCAUUUUGAUUUACUUCAAUAAUAUAUAUAUAUAUAUAAUAUAAAAUUUCAAUUACUGAAAGCUAUAAAAUAGAAUACUAACAGGCAUGUAAACUGACCAUUAAUGCAAUAAUAACGGUAAAAUAGUUUAAGAGUAAUAAAAUCAGAAUUAAUAAUAAUAAAAUAUAAAUUAAUAACCAACAAUUAUUAAUUUUUUUUAUUAAUGAGUGUCCAUUUUAAUAUUGACAAAUUAAAAUAAUUAUAUAUUUUUAUAUUACACUAUUGAAUUGAGAUACUGAUUUAAAUUAAAAAUAUCUAUAUAAUUAUUUUUUAUGAAUUUUUAUCAAUGAGAAUCCAGUCUAAUGAUUCAAAUUUUAAAAUUAUAUAUGUAUAUAUAUACUUAUUAUCAUGAAUAUUAGAUAUUUUUCAUAUUAAAUAUUUGCUAAAAUUGGUUUUUAAUAUAUUCAUGUUAUUGUUUAUUAUUUAAUAUUUCUUUUAUAUAUUAUAAUAUUGUUAAAUUUUAAAAUUUUAAAUACACAAAAUAAUAAUUUUCAUGAAAAUUAUCAUCAAUAUUAAUAUUUUAUAUGAAUAAAAUUAUAUACUUAUGUAAGAAUCAGAUAUUUUUACCUUAAAAAGUUGCUUUAUGCCACGCCACGCAACACAAAGCCGAUUUGUUCACGCAACAUGACACCAUUGUUAUCUAUUUCUUUCACCCAACAAACUACACUGAACAUUAUAUAAGAUACAAUUCUUCUCUCUAUCUGUGUCGUCUUUGCGAAUUCGUUCAUUUCUUGAUACGAACUGCUUGCUCGGCUUCUCGUUCCUAUCCUCUCUCCUCUCUCUCCUUCUUGCUCACUCGUUUCGCUCCUUUUUACACCGUCUUUUUUUUAUCAGCAAAGAAUAAAUAAAAUAAAAUGAGGCACUUCAGGGUGCUUCAACCCUUAUACAAAACACUCAAAACAAGUUUCCUAGCACCCAACCAGCUAAGGAUCCACCAGACAUUACAACACAUUAACCAUAAACCUACCAAAUCAAGAUACAGAAUCCCAACAAAUACAAUUACAUCUACCCACCAAAGAGACCACACCCUCAAACAGGACAUAAAAUCUAACUGAUAAACAAGAUCUUUGACAACAGGCUGAAGAGCUCUAAAUACCCAAGUGUCAACAUCAACAAACCGAUCUUUCGAGGAGGAUACAUAAACUAAAAGACUUGCACAAAGCACAUAACAACUUCCCAAUCUGGACAGAACAAUAGCCAUAAACACCACACAUCAAUCUAUCAAAACUCAUACACCAUAUAAAGUCCAACGCCAAACUGAAUAUAAUAAUUCAAAUACACUUUCCUUUACCGCAACCCAAGAGCAAAACCAUCAACCCGACCCUGCCAGAUAGAAAAAACCAAGAAACCUGCAAAACACAUCACAACUUCCAAAACUGGACAAAAACAUUAACCAAGGAGCACUAAAAAUCAAUCUUUCAAAUACCUCAUACAACAUUGAGGUUCCAAACACCAAUCUGAGUAAGAGAAAUCAGCCAAUCUUUCCUUUACAGUGACCCAAAACCAAGUCUUCAUUUGUACCACCGUAAAAACCUCCACUAAAUCUACGCGCCCAUUCUAAAAAACAACUUUAUUCCUGUGGUUCCAAAUUUCACUUACAAUACCUACCCAAAUGCCCCCCAACACCUAAUAAUAGCAUGUUUCAAACCUAUAGGUUUAAAGAUCUUAAAAUGCAUUCGUGCAUCAUAAUGUAGAGCCAAAGAAGAUCCCAACCACCAAAUUCUCCAAGAGACCCUACACUAAAAAAAAUAGAUGCCUUACCGUCUCUUCUUCCACCCCACAAAGGGGGCAUCGAUCACAUGCCAUAGGUAUACCACAUCUCAAGAGAUUGUCCUUAGUGGCAAUCACAUUACAUAACACUCUCCAAGCCGUAAAAUGUGAUGAUGGUAAAGUCUUUAAUGUCCAGAACUCCACAAAAGGUUCCCUAGACCCUGUAACCUCCCCCCAAGAGAAUAUUAUAGUCUGCCUUCACAGAAAAGUCCGUAGAUUCUACAUCCCUCCAAAUCCAUUUAUCGUUUGUAUUUUCACCCUCUCUUGUUAACCUUUGGUUAUCCAACACCUGCAAUAAAAGGUCAGCCAUACUAGAUUCCCACACAAAGAGAUUCCUUCUCCAACUCAAUUCCCACGACCAACUAUUAUCACUCCAAACCCCAACUUGUGAUAGAAUGCGACCAGUCUCUAAGGAUAUCGAAAAAAGCCUAGGAAAUUUAUGCAUUAAAGGAACAUUGUCCGCCCACUUAUCCUCCCAGAGCCUAAUUUCUUUUCCAUCCCCUACUUCCCAACUAGUUACUUCUUUUUUCUUAUAAGUCAUGUACUGACUUGAUCGUCGGAGUGCAACCAACAAGUAGGGCACCCUCUGUCUCAACGGAGUUGUGUUCAAGCGUGACAAAGGGAAGAGCAAAUUCCAAUGGAGAUAGACGGAGCCAAAGCUUGUCUUCGAAGUCAACCAACGACCAGGUCAUUCGGCGAGAACAUUUUGGCGCCCACCAUGGGACACGAUUAAACCAAGUCCCACCCGUAGUUGUGCUCAAGCUUUUAGGUAUGAUGAGGAAUACAAGGCAGGGUCCGACAACCAGAAGGGGGUGACAACCCCAUCAUACAACAACUCAUGGAAACCGUUAGCGCUCUUCAAGAGAUAAUGGCGGCAUCCCGAGCUGACCAGGAGAGGCCAUCUCACAACGUUUAAUGCUUAGAUGAUGAUCUCGAGAGGAACAAAUGUCAUGCAUUGCAAGAAGUUCAUGGGAACUUUCAUAGGUAUAGUGCUAUAGUGGUUCGUUGGCCUCCCAGAUGGUCACAUCAACUCUUUCAAUCAGUUUGAAAUAAAUUAAAUUCCUAAAUUAUUCAAAAUUAUAAAUAAAUAUAAAUCUUAAAUUAGUUAACGUCAUACUUAUAUAAAAAAAUCGCAAUAUAUAAAUUCCUAAAUUAUUUAAAAUUCUAAAAAAAUAUAAAUCCCAAAUUAUUAAAUGUAGCACUUAAAUAAAAAAAUUCAAUAAAUAAAAUACCUAAAUUAUUUAAAAUUAUAACUAAUACAAAUCUUAAAUUAUUAAAUAUAAUACUUAAAUAAAAAUUUACAAUAAAUAAAAUUCCUAAAUUAUUUUAAAUUUUAAAUUAUAAUUAAAUACAAAUCCUAAAUUAUUGAAUGUUAUACUUAAAUAAAAUUUACAAUAAAUAAAAUUAAAAAAUUAUUCAAAAUUUUAAAUAAAUACACAACCUAAAUGAUUUAAUGUCCUACUUAAAUAAAAUAUCUGAAAUAAAUAAAAUUCUUAAAUUGUUCAAAAUAUUAAAAAAAAAUAUUUCUAAAUUUUUUAAUGUCCUACUUAAAUAAAAAUAUGAAAUAAAAAAAAUUAUAAAAUAUCCAAAAUCGUAAACAAACACAAAUCCUAAGUUAUUACAUGUCAUACUUAAAUAAAAAUCUAAAAAAUAACUAAAAAUUUUAAGUUUUUCAAAAUCAUAAAUAAAUACAACAUCUGAAAUUAUAUUAUUCCCUACUUAAAUAAAAUUUCUAAGUUUUUCCAAUUCCUAAAUGAAUAAAAAUCCAAAAAUUUGUAAUGUCAUUCUUAAAUAAAAAUCUAAAAUCAAUAAAAUUUAUAAAUUAUUGAAAAUUUGAAAUAAAUCCAUAUCCAAAAUUAUUUAAUUUCAAUAUUAACUAAAAAAUCUAAAAGUAAUAAAAUUUCUAAGUUUUUAAAAAUUUUAAAUAAAUACAAAUCCUAAAUUAUUUUAUUUCUACUUAAAUAAUCAUUUAAAAUAAAUAAAAAUCAAAUGAUUUAAUGUUUUACUUAAAUAAAAAUAUAAAAUAAAUUAAAUUCUUACUUUAUUCAAAAUUCUAAAUAAAUACAAAUCGUGAAAUAUUUAAUUUCAUACUUAAAUAAAAAAUUGCAAUACAUAAAAUUCCUAAAUUCUUUAAAGAUCUAAAAAAAUACAAAUCAUAAAUUAGUGAAUGUCAUAUUUAAAUAAAAUUUUCAAUGAAUAAAAUUUUAAAUUAAUAAACAAAUACAAAUUCUAAAUUAUUGAAUAUGAUAAUUUAAAUAAAGAUUUACAAUAAAUAAAAUACCUAAAUUAUUCAAAAUUUUAAACAAAUAUAAAUCCAAAAUUAUUUAAUAUCCUACUUAAAUAAAAUAUUUGAAAUAAAUAAAACUCUUAAAUUAUUCAAGAGUGAUGAAGUUCUUUGAAGAAUUCAAAUUGCUUUGAAGAAUCCAAAUUCUUUGUGCUUGAUGCAAGACAGUGUUGCUACUGUGUUUUGGGAGGGAUCUGGGUAGUUUUAUAUGUAAUUCACUCCUUUGUUGAAUCUAAAGUUGAUGUGUUUUAAAUCCUUUUUAAAAUAAAGUGUUUUUCAAUCUAAGUGAAAAACAACAUAUGUUGUUUUGUCGAAUCAACCGGUUGUUUUACUCUUAGGAGUUUUUGAAAAGGUUGAAAAUUGUUUAAGUUUGGUUGACUUAACUGCCAAACCAAACAAUUGGUUGUUUCGUGGUUUCAAUCGAUUGUUUCUUUGAAAAUCCUAACAGAAUUUUGUUUUUGUGGUUGAAUGUGCUUUAAAUGAUUUCCAACUGAAUAUGCUCUUUCAUUAAAUGCUUUGACCAAUCUUUGGAAAAUAUAAAUAGUUUGUUUAUGUUUCCAAACAAGUAAGAAAACAAAUUUGAGUUUUUCAGUUGUGAAAAAGUUGAUUCAAGAUUUGAACAUUCACAUCAAAGCUUUGGGUUUUCUAAGAGAGUGAAAUAUGAUUGCAUUUUGUAUUGAUUUCAUAUUGUUCUGUAAACAAGUGUAAUCUCUUCUCAACCUUCUGUAUUUCUGGUGUUGUGUUGCAAAGGAGUGUUGUGUGCUCUUGAGGUGGUCAAGAUCAAUACUCUUGGUGUGUGAAUUGCCAAAGUGAGUAUGUUGUGUUUCUUGAAGGGUUCAAGGUCACUGCUUUGGUGGAUUGUAUGUUGCAAUCUUGUUUGAUUACUUAGUGGAUUACCUAGUGGCUUUCUGGGGACUGGAUGUAGCUCUUGGUUUAAGAGUGAACCAGUAUAAAUUGUGGUGUAUCUUUCUCUUACCCUUAAACUUAUUUACAUUCUGAUUUUAGUUUUUACUGGUAUAAACAACCGAUUGUUUUGCAGAAACAUCCGAUUGUUUUUCUGCUGCUUUGUUGUUUUAUUGAUCUUAUUCUUGGCUAACCUGAUUUCUGUUCUGGAUUCAUACAAAGAAUUUUGUUAAAAUAAAAAAGAUUUCAAAAACCCCUCUUAAACAAUUCACCCCCCUCUCGUUUAAGGCCAUAUAUUUAAACAACAGCUCCCAUUGCAAAUUUAAUCACAUAGCUUGAGUUAGACCUUAUAGAAUCUAUGUUUUCACCCAUAUCAGAAUCAAUACAGCUCACAAGGGUAGGCAUAUCACCUCCAAAACAAAGCUUCAAACAAGUGGGGCAAUGAACAACUCGCAGCCGGGGCAAAGUGAUGGAGAUCAACUGGGCCGCUCGCAAGGAGAAAAUAACGAUGGAAAGGGGAGAACUUCAAAAUAAAGUCUUGGCUUUCCAAGAUAGGGAUGGCUAAAUAUGCCCAUACGUUCGAGAUAAACCGGAUAGACUAAAAAUCGCUUCCCCUAUUGACAUGGGGAGAUUUAAAAACGAUACGAAUCCUCCCAAUUGUAGAUAGACGUAAAAUCUACAAAAGAAGUAAGAAAAUAACCUUUCUUCUUGUUUUCUUGAGAGUACAUGUUUUUUUUUUCUUUUAUCAAUAGUAAUUUUUCAACUUGAUUUCAUAAUUAAUUAUAACUAAGAAAUAAAAUUUUCAUAAUAGAACAAAGAGAUUAAUUAAUAGAAAAGGUUAAAUUACUUUUUUUUAUUCCUUAUUUAUGUUAUUAAAUUUAAUCCUGAAAUUUUGAAGAAAAAUAGUUACAUUGUCAUAUUUUUUAAAUAAUUGAUUUUUUUUAAUGAUAAUAUAACUAACUAAAUAAAUAAUGACAUAAAAAAUAACUAACCUAAAAUUAUAGAUUUAGAUAUAAUUUUAUUAAGUGUAAAAAAAUUAUAUGAUUAGGUAAACAUUUUAUUCUUUAACUGUAAAAAAAUUAUACUGAUUUUUAAAAUUAAUAAAGUUACAAACAAAAUUUUUAUAAUAUCAAAUAAUUAUCUAAACUAAUUACAUAUUUUUAAUUACAUAAAAUAAUAAUAUUAUUAUUCACUAAUCUAUUUUUUUUAUUUUAAAAUAAAAUAAUUGAUCAAUUAUAUUUUUAAAUAUAUUUUUUUUUAUUUAAAAAAAUAUGUAAUGGUACACGCAUGCAGAUGGUACUUAUUUUUCUAUUUUUUUUUUUAUUAAUGAAGAAGUUUUCUAUUCAAAUAUAAUCCACACUUAAGAGAAACAACAAACAACUUUCAUGUACAAAGUUAUUGUUUCACUACAAGAAAAACAUGAAAUAGAAAUCAAUUUUAUAUACAAAAAAUAAUUAGUUGUUAUAGUAACUAAAUUAGAGACCAUUUGAGAAACUAAAAAAAAUGAUUUCUAAAUUAAUUUCUAUUAUUAUUAGAUGGUUUCUAAAUUAGUAUCUAAUUAGCAACCAAGGUUUUAACUACCAAUUAUUUAGAUUCUAAAUUUGGUAGCAAAAAUCAUUUAGUUAGAUACUAAUUUAGAAAUCAUUAGUAAUAGAAACUAAUUUAGAAACCAAAAUUUUUUUUAGUCUCUAAAAUGAUAUCUAAUUUACUUUCUAUAGCAACUAAUUAUUUUUUGUCUUUAAAAUUGGUUUCUAUUUCAUGAUUUUUUUGUAGUCUUUGUAAUAGAUAUAAAUUUUUAAUAUUAAAAUUUAGAAUUAUACAUUUAUUUGAUAAAAAAUAAAACAUAUUAAAAGAGAUAUUUGAAAUCACUCAAUUCGUUAUAAAUUUGAUUCUAAACUUUUUAGAUGUUCAAAAUCAAUGAAAACAUUUUUUUAAUUGAAUAUUGGGUUAAAAAAAUAUUAAAAAAACAUUUAAGAGGAAAGUAGAAGGGAAUAUUUAUGAGAAUUGAAUACUACACAAUCAUAAUCAGAACAAAGAAAAAAUGAAUACUACACAUUGUUAUUGUGUGUUUUUAUCAAGUUAUAGCAACUAAUGUUUGCAUUUGAAAAGUGUGUUUUUAUCAUGAAAUUAGUAAACUUUUAUAAUGAAUAGAAGUUGUUAUUUACUAUUACAUAUAAAUUAUAAUGUUGAUUUUUUUUUUACUAAACAUGUAUUUGGUAGAAAAGUAUUUCUACCAAAUAUAUAUAAAAAGAGCAUAUAUGCACACUGAUGUGAAACUGAUGUCAAACAUAUAGGAUUGUUUAUCCUUGACCUUGACCUUUCAUAAUUUAGUAAGUCAUUCUAACCACCUUACAUCUGAUUAUGAAUGCCUAAUCCCCUUUCAGCAUGUCUCGGUAGCAUAACAUCAUAGUACCAAUUUUCACCAAGUAGAUCCAUCCUAUUAGGCACCACCACCAUUAAGACGUGGUGUCCACUUGAAAGAUCAAGAAGACUUGAAAAACGCAUAAAUCCCUGUAUUUUUUAUAUUCAUUAUAAUUUAUAAAUUCACUUACAAAUUAUAGGCAUAUCAUGUCUUUAUUGUGCUUUUGGGUGUUUCUGCAUGUGUGUUUCAGUGUUAAGUCUUGGAAUCACACCCUCCUUACUGCACUUUGUUCUUUGGUUUUAGUUAGCCUGUGGUCAAUAUCAUAGUUGGUUAUACUGGUUUACGAGUAUAAAUUUUGAAAUUUAUGUUUUUUUUUCCAGGAUAUAAUGGAGGACCUCCUAUACUUAUGGUAGUCACCUGAGUUUGAGAAAAUAUUAAAUUCCAUUGUUAAAGUUUGAUCUUAAAGACUUCUUUAGUAGUAGAAGUUAAGUGUCGCUUACUUUAGGUCCAAAAUGUUGAAUCAAGUGUGAUCAAGCUUUGAAGAAAUCCAAAUCCUUUGAGUUUGAUGGAAGGCUGGAUGUGCUUGUUGUUGCUGAAGGGUUUUAGAAUAGGAUCUAGGGUAGAUUAUAUGUGUUACUCCACUCUUGAUUGAAUCCAAAGCUUAAGCAUUCUCAAACCUUUUAAUUAAAAGUGUUUUUCAAACUAAGUGAAAAACAACCUAUUGUUUUGUCGAAACAACCGAUUGUUUUAUACUUAGGUGUUUUGAGAAAGGUUGAAAACUGUUUUUGAUGGUUGACUUGUUGUCAAACCAAAACAACCGAUUGAUUCGAGUAUUCAACCGAUUGUUUAUUUUGGGACCAUAACAGAAAACUGUUUUGUGCUUUGACUGAGCUUUAAAUGAUUUUAUAACUGAAUACGCUCCAAUUUUAAAUGCUUUGACCAGUUUUUGAAAGCAAUAAAUAGUUUGUUCAGUUUAUGUAAAAAACAAGAAGAAAGAUUUGAGUUUUUGAAUUACACAGAAAAACAGAUUUGAGUUUUCACUGUGUUUUGCUAUUUGAAGAGUUGAAGUGUGCUUUGAGAUUGCUUUUGAUCAAGAAAGUGGAAUAGGAUUUUCAUCUUGUAUUGAUUUCAGAUUCAUUCUGUAUAAAGUGUAAUCCUUAUGUACUUUUGUUAACUCUGUUGUGUAAGACCGAGAAGUGUUGUGUGCUCUUGAGGUUGUUAAGAUCAUCAUUCUUGGUGGUGUUGUGCUUAGCCAAAGGAAGUGUGUGUCUUGAGGGGAUAAAGGUCACUUCUUUGGUGGUGUUGUAAGUAAUCUAGGGUUGAUUGCUUAGUGGAUUCUCCCAGUGGUUUCUAGGAAGACUGGAUGUAGCUCUUGGUUUAAGAGUAAACCAGUAUAAAAGUGUAAUCCUUCUGUACUUUUGUUAACUCUGUUGUGUAAGACCGAGAAGUGUUGUGUGCUCUUGAGGUUGUCAAGAUCAUCAUUCUUGGUGGUGUUGUGCUUAGCCAAAGGAAGUGUGUGUCUUGAGGGGAUCAAGGUCACUUCUUUGGUGGUGUUGUAAGUAAUCUAGGGUUGAUUGCUUAGUGGAUUUCCCCCAGUGGUUUUUGGGAAGACUGGAUGUAGCUCUUGGUUUAAGAGUGAACCAGUAUAAACUGUGUGUGCAAAUUCUCUAUCCCUUACACUCUUUAAAUUCAGUUUAUAGUUUAUCUGGUAUAAACAACCGAUUGUUUCUGCGAAACAACCGAUUGUUUCUGCGAAACAACCGAUUGUUUUUCUGCUGUUGUGCUAUUCUGCUUUGUGUUUUUGGCAAACUGAAUUCUGAAUCAAGUUUUCUUAAAGGGAUUUCAUUCUAGACUUAAAAGUUUUCGAAAACCCUCCUUAAACCAUUCACCCCCUUCUAGUUUAAAGCCAUACAAUCUAACACAAAAUUAUGAUGUAAUAUAAUCACCUACCAAUAGAAUAUAUCAUAUAUUGGUAUGCAGUAAUUUUUUGUCAUUAUCAUGUUCAUUCAUGAAUAUAAUCCAUGUGAAGUGUUUAUUCUGCAAAACUUUCAUUCAAAUUUUUGGAGUAAAUAACUAAGUUAAUUUACUUUUCAUUUCAGCUUUACAGGAAAAGUCAUUAUACAAAAUUUUAUGUAUAUUUGAUUGAAUCAUAUUAUUUUUUAAGAGCUCUUUACAAUUUUUAUUCUAAUAGAAGAAUAUUAUAUGACUCAUGGUUUAAUCAAUAUUUUAUUUAAUUAUCAAUAAAAAUUAAAUAUUUAAAAUAAAAAUAAAAAAUUAUAUUUUAAUUCUUAUUUAUGAUCCAAGAAUUAUUUUUCUAUAUUUAUGAUCUAAGAUUUUAAAUUUUAUUAUGUGUAAAUAUAUUUAGUAAGUCUAUUAUACCUAGAUCUUAAACUACAAAUCACUGGUUAAUGUAACUAACUACGCAACCACUAAUAUUAGAAAACUUUACCUUGGUGAGUUCCUCUAAGGUCACUUUACACACACCUCAUACAUCACUCCAUCAAUGAACAACAUUAAGCGCAAAAUUUCAAAAAAUUGCUCAGUGUAUAAAAAGUUGGUAGCAGGUCACCACGUAUUCCAACAAAGGACACAACUUCUUGUGACUAACUACAUUGACACUGAUUUUAGAAAAGUAGACUUUGGUGUCCUUCACUAAGGUCACUUUAUACACACCUCAUGUACCACCCACCAAAGAACAACAAUUAAAUUAAAAUUUUGAAAAUUUGUUCAAUAUGCAAAAAGUUGGUAGGAAGUCACCACUUAUUUCUAUAUGAGUGACCAUUUAUUGUAACUAACUACAUUGGCACUAAAAUUAGAAAAUUUUACCUUGACGACCUACAUUGAGGUCACUUUACACACAUCUCAUGUACCAUCCCCCAAAGAACAACACUUAACUUAAAAUUUUGAAAAUUUGUUCAAUAUGCUAAUAGUUGGUAGCAAGUCACCACUUAUUGUUACAUGGGUCACCACUUAUUGUGACUAAGUACAUUGACACCAAAAAUAGAAAAUUUUACCUUGACAACCUCCAUUGAGGUCACUUUACACACACCUCAUGCACCACCCACCAAAAAAAACUUAGCUCAAAAUUUUGAAAAUUUGUUUAAUAUGCAAAAAGUUUAUAGCAAGUCACCACUUAUUCCUAUAUGGGUCACCACUUACUUGAUUAACUACAUUGACACUAAAACUAGAAAAGUUUACCUUGACAACCUCCAUUGAUGUCACUUUACACAAACCUCAUGCACCACCCCCAAUGAACAAUACUUAGCUCAAAAUUUUGAAAAUUUGUUCAAUAUGCAAAAAGUUUGUAGCAACUCACCACUUAUUCUUACAUGAGCCACCACUUACUGUGACUAACUACAUUGGCACUAAAAUUAAAAAAAUUUACCUUGACAACCUCAGUUGAGGUCACUAACACACACCUCAUGCACCACCCACCAUAGAACAACGCUUAGCUCAAAAUUUUGAAUCUUUUUGUUCAAUGGGCAAAAAGUUGGUAGCAAGUCACCACGUAUUGUGACUAAUAAAUUGGCACUAAAACUAGAAAAGACUACCUUGGUGACCUCUAUUAAGAUCACUUUACACAAACCUCGUGUACCACCCACCAAAGAACAAUAAUUAGCUCAAAAAUUUUAAAAUUUGUUCAAUGUGCAAAAAUUUGGUAGCAACUCACCAUUUACUGUGACUAACUACGCUGGCACUGACAUUGAUACUUUAAAAUUUAUUCAGUUUAUAGAAAGUUGGUAGCAGGUGAUCACAUAUUCCAUCAAAGGUCACCACUUCCUGUGACUGACUCCAUUCAUACUGAGAUUAGAGUUCUAUAAUCUCAUUGUUAAAGUAGUUAGUUAGUCGCAGCCACAUUAAGUCGUGACUUGUGUAGGAAUAAUGGUGACCUACUACCAAGUUUUUGCACGGUUAAGUAAUUUUAGAAAAUUUUAGCUGUGUUGUUCUUAUGUGGAAUGGUGCAUGAGGUGUGUGCAAAUAGACUUUAGUGGAGGACACCAAGGUGCAAUUAUCUAAUCUCAAUAUCAAUGUAGUAUGUCAGACUAUGUGGUGACCUAUGUAGGAAUAAGUGGUGACCUGCUACCAAGUUUCUGCACAAUUAAGUAAUUUUAGAAACUUUUAGCUUUGUGUUGUUCUUGUGUGGGGUGGUGCAUGAGGUGUGUGAAAAUUGAAUUCAGUAGAGAAAACCAAGGUAUAAUUAUCUAAUCUCAGUGUCAAUGUAAUAUGUCAGACUAUGUGGUAACCUGUGUAGGAAUAAGUGAUGACCUGCUAUCAAAUUUCUUCACAAUUAAGUAAUUUUAGAAUUUUUAAGCUUUGUGUUAUUCUUUGAUGGGGUGGUUCAUGAGGUGCUUGUAAAGUGCCCUCAUUCUCUAAUCUCAUUGUCAAUGUAGUUAGUCAGAUUAAGUGGUGACCUGUGUACGAAUAAGUGGUGACUUGAUACCAACUUUGUGCGCAAUUAAGUAAAUUUAGAAAUUUGGAGUUUUGUUGUUCUUGUGUGAGGUGGUGCAUGAGGUGUGUGUUAAAUGACCUCAGUGUAAGACAACAAGGUACAAUUAUCUAAUCUCAGUGUCAAUGUAGUUAGUCAGACUAAGUGGUGAUCUGUGCAGGAAUAAGUGGUGACCUACUACCAACUUUCAGCGCAGUAAAGUAAUUUUAAAAUUUUUGAGUUUUGGUGUCCUUGUGUGAGAUGAUGCAAUGCAUGAGGUGUGUAAAAUUACCCUAAUGGAGGAAACAAAGGUUAAGUUCUAUAAUCUCACUAAAGUUAGUUAGUCGCAAUCACAUUAAGUGAUGAAUAAUAUUGGAAUAAGUUGUGAACUGCUACCAAAUUUAUGCACAAUUAAGUAAUUUUAGUAAAUUCUAGCAUUGUGUUGUUAUGUGUGAAGUGGUGCAUGAGGUGUGUGCAAAGUGACUUCACUAGAAACAUCAAGAUAUAAUUAUCAAUUUCUUUUAUCAUAUUUUCUCUAUUCAUUAAUAGCUCUUCAACCUGGAUAUAAUACUAAUAAACAAUUUUCAAACAAACCAAUUCUUUUAUAAUUAUAUAAUAUUAACCAAUAAAUAUUGUUCAAAAAGGAUAAAUAUAACAUUAAGUUGUAUACUUAAAUAAACUAACGAAUUUUACAAUUUAUAAGAAACACUUCAAAAAAUAAAGUUUAUUACAUUCUAGUGUCUUCUAUAUUUCUAUCCUAUAGAUAAAUUGUCAAAUAACUAUAAAAAAUUAACUUAUUUUAAUCAAUAAGAAGCCAAGUCCACUUUGCGUAACUUUUAAGGAAUGCAUCACUGAAAAUAUCUCCUGCAAAUGAAAGGAAAAAAGAAAGAUAAUUUCUUUCUACACCAUAUCAAUUUUAACCCGCACCCUAUCACUUUUUUUAAAUUUCCAAAAUUACUCUUAUUCUGGAUUUGAAAAUCCAAAAUAAAAAAUAAAAUUCAAAAAUGAAAAAGUAUAUUUAGGAGUGACACUUAAUUGAUGAAACGGCACUCCCAAUGCUGACAUGGGCAGAUUUAGGAGUGAUGGGAAUAGAAGCCAUUGGGGACAAACGCAAAAUUCAUAAACAAAUAAAGAAACUGAGGAAAUCAUCAAGAGUUUAAGUUGAUAGUUUGUAGAAGUUUGUAUAAGUUUCUGGUUUAAGUUCUAUAAGUUUCUGGUUUAUGUUCUAUUUAGUUUCUGGUUUAUGUUCUAUUUAGUUUCUGGUUUAAGUUCUAGUUUCCUAAUUAUGUAAGUUCUGUUUUAUAAAUUCUGUUUUCUAUGUUUCUAUAAUCUAAUCAUUUUAAUAUAAUAAUUAAUUUUUUUUUUCUAUAAUUUAUUUAUAUUUAAUAAUCUUUUAAAAACGUUAAUUAAUAAAAUGAGACUAAGUGCCACAAUCACAUUUGUAGUCCUUGAUGCGCUUUCCAGUCAGAGAGUCAGAGUGAACAGAGUAUUUCUUUGAGCACUUUAAACUACAAUGAUUCUGAAACCAAUUGAGCUUCUUCUUAACACCACUUCAUCACUCACCAAUAAUUCAAACUUUUUUGCUAUUCAUUUUUUGAAUUAACACACACAUUUUAGUUUUCUUCCCCAAUUCAAACAACAUUCAAACCAAUCAAAUUCACCUAAAUGUUAUCAAAUCUUGCUUCUUCAUAUCUUCUCCCACUGUCACACUUACACAUAUGUUAUAUAUUUAUCCAUAAAUUUUGUGAGAAUUUUCUGAUGAGAGAUUGUUUCAACUAAACCAAUCUUAUUGAGUAGUAACAUAUAAAGUAAACUUUACCUAUAGAAUUAAUCAGAAGGGCUGAAGAAGAAGAUAAACAUAUAUAUAUAGCAACUUUUAGUACAUGAAAACUCAGUCACUAAGAAUUAAUCAUCAUCCAUAUAUGAAGCUGCAACUUAAUUUGAUAAUCCAUGAACUUAAAUUCAAGAAAAAGGAGAGAAAAGCCCUGACAGGAGAAUGUUGGUAUUGGUAGAGAUGAAAAAAAUGAAUGAAAAAGAAAAGGGUUAAGGAAGUGAUGAGAUGACCUGGAUUUCCUCGUAGGUUGCUUUUCUUCUUGUGAGGUGUUUGUGAAAUUGUGUUUGAGUCAUUGCUAUUAUUUGUUUUGUUGUGGUUGAAGUGUUUGAAUUUGGACUAUGGAGUUGACGAAGCAUCUCUAAUAUUUUUCACGAGACCAAGGACUCCAGGUUUGUUACGAGGUCAAAAUUGAAACAUAAAAAUGAGGUUCAUAACUUCAUGCCUACGAGGUUCACCUUCUUUACUAUCUGCUUUGAAAAUGUAAGGAGUGUCUUGAUAUAUAAAUCACUUUGAGUGUGUAAUAUAGACAAUAUAAGACUAUACUUUUGUAAUACUAAAAGUUCACAACAAUUUCCCAUUAUUGCAAUAGACAAGAGUAAGAAAGAUUGAAGACAAUUUUUGUUCUCAUAUAAGAUGUAUUGCAUUUUAUAUUGGUUUACAAGUAUAAAUUUUGAAAUUUAUGUUUUUUUUUUCAAGAUAUAAUGGAGGGACCUCCUAUACUUGUGGUAGUCACCUGAGUUUGAGAAAAUAUUAAAUUUCAUUGUUAAAGUUUGAUCUUAAAGACUUCUUUAGUAGUAGAAGUUAAGUGUUGUUUACUUUAGGUAAAAAAUUAUGAUGUAAUAUAAUCACCUACCAAUAGAAAAGUUAAGUGUCGUUUACUUUAUUGUAACUAACUACAUUAGUAUUAAAAUUAGAAAAGUUUACUUUGACAACCUACAUUGAGGUCACUUUACACACAUCUCAUGUACCAUUCCCAAAGAACAACACUUAACUCAAAAUUUUGAAAAUUUGUUCAAUAUGCUAAUAGUUGGUAGCAAGUCACCAUUUAUUCUUGCAUGGGUCACCACUUACCGUGACUAAGUACAUUGACACUAAAAUAGAAAAUUUUACCUUGACAACCUUCAUUGAGAUCACUUUACACACACCUCAUGCACCACCCACAAAAAAACACAUAGCUCAAAAUUUUGAAAUCUUGUUUAAUAUGCAAAAAAUUUAUUGCAAGUCACCACUUAUUUUUACAUGGGUCACCACUUACUUGAUUAACUUACGCCGUGUAUCCGAGAAAGGAGUCAAAGCCACACUUCUAGGGUUUAUCAUGAACGCCGUGAAGUACAAAACACCACUUCAUAUUCAUAUUCAUGCGUAUUAUAUAUCUCAAUUACUCUUUUUCUAUAUGGUUUUAAUUAAUCUAAUGUGUGAUCCGUGGUUCAGUUCACAGAUUGGUUCCUGGCGUGAAGGGGUACAUAGACGCCCAAAAACAUAAGGUUCAAUUCAUGCCACCUCAAGUGGUACAUGUAUACUUUGUUUAUUUUUGUUCGUUGACGGAAGGGAGAAAAUAAUAAUUGUGGACAGGGGAAGAACUUUGAAAUAAAGCAUUGGCUUUUCAAAUUAGGACCGACUCAAUAUACCCUUACGUUCGAGAAGAAUGGAGUAAACGAAAUUACCAUGAAAUCCAAAAAAUAAAGAAAUAAUUUUUCUUUUACUUUUCUUGGGGUGUACAUGCUCACUUUCAUUAAUAUUUUCUUUUAGUUUCUUUAUAUUUCUUUUAUAAAUUUUUGUACUCAAUACUCUUUGGCAAUUAAGCUAAAUUGUUUUACAUUUCUCAGUAACGAACAGAUUUAGUUCAAAAUUUUAGAUAAAUAUAAAUCUAAAUUAUUUGAUGUUCUACUUAAAUACAAAUUUGUAAUACAAAGACCUAAAUUACUUAUUGUUCUACAUAAAUAGAAAUUUACAAUAAAUAAAAUUUUUAAAUUAUUCAAAAUUCUAAAUAAAUACAAAAUCUUAAACAAUAGAAAAUCUGAAAUUAUGUUAUUCCUUAUUUAAAUAAAAAAAAUGUAAGAUAAAUAAAAUUUCUAAGUUUUUCCAAUUCCUAAAUAAAUAAAAAUUCAAAAAUUUGUAAUGUGAUUCUCAAAUAAAAAUCAAAAAUUAAUAAAAAUUUUAAAUUAUUCAAAAUUCAAAAUAAAUCUAUAUCCUAAAUUAUUUACUCCCAUUAUUAACUAAAAAAUCUAACAUUAAUAAAAUUUCUAAGUUUUUUAAAAUUUUAAAUAAAUAUAAAUUUUAAAUUAUUUUCUUUCUACUUAAAUAAUAAUCUAAAACAAAUACAAAAUCAAAUGAUUUAAUAUUUUACUUAAACAAAAAUAAAUAAUAAAUUUCUAAAUUAUUCAAAAUUCAAAAUAAAUACAAAUCUUGAAAUAUUUAAUGUCAUACUUAAAUAAAAAAAAUUACAAUACAUAAAAUUUCUAAAUUAUUUAAAAUUCUAAACAAAUACAAAUCAUAAAUAUAAAUUAUUGAAUGUCGUAUUUAAAUAAAAUUUUGCAAUGCAUAAACUUUAUAGUUAUUUAAAAUAAUAAACCAAUACAAAUUCUAAAUUAUUGAAUAUCAUAAUUUAAAUAAAUAUUUACAAUAAAUAAAAUAUCUAAAUUAUUCAAAAUUUUAAACAAAUAUAAAUCUCAAAUUAUUUAAUGUACUACUUAAAUAAAAAAUUUGAAAUAUUUUGAAAUAGAUAAAAUUCUUAAAUUAUUCAAAUUCUUAAUAAAUACUAAUUUUAAAUUAUUUAAUAUUUUAUUUAAAUAAAAAUUUGAAAUAAAUCAAAUUUCUAAAAUAUCGAAAAUCCAAAAAAUUCUUAAUAAAGUUCUGUUUUUUAAAUAAACACAAAAUCCAACUUAUUUUAUGUCUUACUUAAAUAAAAAUAUCAAAUACAUAAAAAUUCUAAGUUUUUCAAAAUCUUAUAUUAUUUUAUUUUUUAUUUAAAUAAAAAUUUAAAAUAAAUAAAAUUUAUAACUUUUUCAAAAUCCUAAAUAAAUAUAAAUCCAUAAUUUGUAAUGACAUUUUUAAAUAGAAAUUAAAAAUGAAGAAAAUUCCUAAAUUAUUCAAAAUUCCAAAUAAAUCCAUAUCUUAAAUUAUUUAAUUUCAUUCUUAAAUAUAAAUAUAAAAUUAAUAAAAUUUAUUGGUUUUUCAAAAUCUUAAAGAAAUAUAAAUUCUAAAUUAUUUUAUUUCCUACUGAAAAAAUAAUCUAAAAUAAAUAAAAUUUUCAAAUUUUUAAAUAAAUACAAACCUAAAUUAUUAAAUGUUCUACUUAAAUAAAAAUCUAAAAUAAAUUAAAUUUAGGAACAUUUGUUUCAAGUUAUGUGUUAGUAUUUUUGAAAGUGUGAUUCACAGGAAUGUUGCAACCAGAAAAUUAUUCCAAAGCAUAAAUAUCAUUGAUUAAUUUUUCAUAUUUCUGAAGAUACUUUAAAGUUUUAAAUAUAUUCAAGUAAAAAAAAAAAGAAUGAAAACUAUGAUGGAGGUUAGAAAAUAACUUCUCUUAUUCUCAUGGAAAUAUAAUUAUUUUUUUCAUUUUCACGUAUAGCAAUCAAAGCUGUAUAUAUAAAAUAAUAUAACUUUCAUGAUAAUAAAAUAUUUCAAAUUUUUUUUAUAACUUUGUAAUAAAUAUCUACUCAUUUUCAUAUUUAUGUGGGACCUGCUAUAUUAUCUUUUUAUUAUUUUCAUUCAUUCAUUUUAUUUUUAUUUAUCUUUAACCAAACACUUUUAAUUUCUACUUUGUUUGUUAUCCAUUUUCUAAUUUUAUUUUCAUGUUCCUUUCAUCUUUCUGAAAUGAGGACUUAAUUGUUCUACUUUCUCUCUUCCUCUCUUUCUUUUCACAUCUUUCUCUCUUCCAUGCCUCCUCCUAUUCUAUUUCCCCUUUUCUUGUGCAUCUUUCUUUUCUUUACACACUCUUAUUUUAAUUAUAAGAUACAAAAAAAAAAUUAUUUAUUUUCUAAUUAGACAACAUUGAAAUAAAAGUACUAAGUAUUUAGAAUUUGAUUUUGUAGUUAUUUUUAUCCAUGAAAGUUAUACAAUUAGUCUUUGAAAUUUUUUAUUAUUUUAAUAUUGCUUCAUGUUUUUUCCCCUUUCAAUAACUAUAUAUUGAAAUAGAAAUUUUUGAAUAAUUUUUCAGAAAUUUUAAAUAUGGUGGAAACUGAAUUAUUUUAUUAUAAAGAGUAUAAAUUAGGGUUGUUUUGAUAAGUGAGAAUAAAGUAGAAAUGAGUAGAAAUAGGAAAGAGAAAAAGUGAAUAUUUUGAAAGUUUAUUAUUAAUUUGAUAAAAGGUACAGAAAUAGUUAAGUAUAAUUUUUUAUGGAAAGUAUAUUAUUUUGCCCAUUGAGUCAUUUUUAAAAAUUACUUUUUAUUUUUAUACUAUGUUUUCCUAUUAACACUAUACUCUUAUCACAUGAAAAUUGUUAAUUCACCUUUCAGUCCUUCAAGUACCUAUCAUUCCUCCAAAUCACUUAUUUUUGGCCAAACCAAACUCAAACACAUAAUGUAAAUUGACACAUUUUUAUUUGGCAUUGAAUGAAACUAGAAAAACAAACAAGUCCUUGAAUAAAGAAUGAUAAAAUUAAAAGGGAUUAUGAGUUCAAUCAUAAUUAAAUGGGAUUAUCACCAAUUAUAUUUUGUUUCCAAGAUCAACACCAAACUUGUCUUUGUCUUCAUGUGAGGCAUCUUUACCAAUAUUUUCAAGCACACCAUAUCUAAUUAGACCUAAUUUUUCGAUUCAAAAAUAUUUACACCACUUAGACCUAGCUACAAAAAAUAAAUUCAUUUUAAUAUAAAAUGAAUGAAUCAUUAAAUUUAUCCUUAAAGUUUUUUUUUCUCCUAAAUGAUCAAUAAAAUAAGAAACACUAAGUAGUUAUAUAAAUUACUUUCAGAUUUUGUCAUAAAAGUAAUUUAAUUAAUUAAAUAUAAGAAAUAAAUACAGAUAAAAUUAAGAUUUGAACGAAAAUUGUGAAUUCUCUUUUUAUAAAAGUAAAUUUUGUGAUUUUUUUAAAUAUAGAAUAAAUUGUUUCUAUUUUAAAAUAAAUAUGUCAAAAUUAUGGAUUAAACAAAAUAGAGAAACUAACAUUGUAUUUAAAUUCAAUAUUAGAUAUGUAUUAAAGUAUUUACUUAUUAUAAAUUGAAUGGUAUAAAAAUAAAAACAUUUAUUUAAAUUCUUUAGCUUAGCAUAAACAGAUGAGAGUCCAGGGACAUCUUUGGAGGUUCAGGUCAUUCAUUGGUCAAAGACUACCUCAAAUUUUUGGUGAUUUUAUGUAAGUGGUGACCCCUUUCAUUUUAAUUGGAAACCUAUGUUGUACUUUUUGCACAGUCAUUUGGUCCUCCACCUGAGUGAUUAGUUUUGGGUUUUUUGGUUGCACACAUGGUUCAGAUGGGAGUCCAGGGACCUCAUUGGAGGUUCAGGCCAUUCAUUGGUGAAAGACUACCUCAAAUUUUGGUGUUUUAAUGUAAGUGGGCACCCCUUUGAUUUUAAUUGGGGACCUAUGUUGAACUUCUUCAACAGUCAUUUGGUCCUCCAACUGAGUGAUAACUUUGGGGUUUUUUGGAUGCAAAGAGGGUUCACAUGGGAGUCCAGGGACCUCAUUGGAGGUUUAGGCCAUUCAUUGGUGAAAGAAUAUAUAACUUUUGGGUUUUUUGGAUGCAAACAGGGUUGACAAUAUAAUUGCCACCAUUCAGUACAAAGUUGAUUAAUAAAAACAAUAGUACAAAAUUAAUCAAUAACAAUAUUGUUAAUGAAUAACAAAAUUAAUCCACUUACACAUUUAGAGUUUCCACAAUAAUUACUCCUGAACAAAAUUAUUGGUGCAAUACUACAAAUUACAAUGGUUUCAACAAUGUCAAUAAAGCAUACAUCUACUAACUUAAAAACAUAAAGCACCUAAAAACAUAUCCAUUAAUGAAGCAUCGGUUUUUGGGUUUUUUUGGCUUCCUCCUUGAAUAUGUGGUCCAAGGUGCUUUCAAAACAGCACUCUUGAAACGUUUCCUCGGUUCACCGUUCAUUUUAGGAAACAUGUUCACUUCUUCAUUUGGUUGGACUUCAUCUACAUGUAAUUGUUUAUCUUCAUGUGCAUCUUCAUGAUUGUUGACUUCUUCAUUUGGUUGGACUUCAUCUACAUGUAAUUGUUUAUCUUCAUCUACAUCUUCAUGACUGCUUUCUGCCUUUUUCAAGUAUGUGCAAUCCAUUACAAAAGGUUCAACUUCAACUACUUCUGACUGAGUAUCACGACAAAGACAAUUUCUCCUUGCAAUUAACUCGACUAUGUCAUUCACCUCUUUCUCCAUAAUUGUGAUUAAUACUUCCUGCUCCUCAGAUUUCCGCAUCAGUUGAAGAACUUUCACCCUCAUUGCAAGGACUUCAUCCUUUGUUGGUUUCUUCUUCGUAAUUCGACACCCAAUUUGGUCAAAAGCUUCUUCAACAAAUUUACUGCAAAGUUCUUCAUUGGAAGCACAUAA
rnacentral:lncRNA from 1 species